rnacentral:rRNA from 1 species
UACGUAGGGGGCUAGCGUUGUCCGGAAUCAUUGGGCGUAAAGCGCGUGUAGGCGGUCCGGUAAGUCCGCUGUGAAAGUCGGGGGCUCAACCCUCGAAUGCCGGUGGAUACUUUCGGGCUAGAGUGCGGAAGAGGCGAGUGGAAUUCCUGGUGUAGCGGUGAAAUGCGCAGAUAUCAGGAGGAACACCAAUUGCGAAGGCAGCUCGCUGGGACGGUACUGACGCUGAGGCGCGAAAGCGUGGGGAGCAAACAGG